rnacentral:rRNA from 1 species
GAUGAACGCUGGCGGCGUGCCUAAUACAUGCGAGUCGAGCGAACGGACGAGAAGCUUGCUUCUCUGAUGUUAGCGGCGGACGGGUGAGUAACACGUGGAUAACCUACCUAUAAGACUGGGAUAACUUCGGGAAACCGGAGCUAAUACCGGAUAAUAUUUUGAACCGCAUGGUUCAAAAGUGAAAGACGGUCUUGCUGUCACUUAUAGAUGGAUCCGCGCUGCAUUAGCUAGUUGGUAAGGUAACGGCUUACCAAGGCAACGAUGCAUAGCCGACCUGAGAGGGUGAUCGGCCACACUGGAACUGAGACACGGUCCAGACUCCUACGGGAGGCAGCAGUAGGGAAUCUUCCGCAAUGGGCGAAAGCCUGACGGAGCAACGCCACGUGAGUGAUGAAGGUCUUCGGAUCGUAAAACUCUGUUAUUAGGGAAGAACAUAUGUGUAAGUAACUGUGCACAUCUUGACGGUACCUAAUCAGAAAGCCACGGCUAACUACGUG